rnacentral:lncRNA from 1 species
AAGUAGAUUCAUAAACAAAGUAGAUAAUAACAAUAAAAACUAAACAUCCAAUAGAAUAAAGACAUUUUCUGCCCCUCCUCCUCUCUCUUCUCCUGCUAUUUGACUUCCUGUUUUUUUCCACUGAACCGUUUCCAAGGAUGGGCGCGCACACACGCAGAGAGAGAGAGAGAGAGAGAGAGAGAGAGGCACAAUGAAAGAACAGAACGGUGUCUUUCGUUCAAUCUUCACUUGGUCUGUCUAUGUAUUUAUACCUACCAGACCACCUGUGUGUCUGUAUCUCUUCCUCCUUUGUCUCUUCCGUCCUCCGUGCACACCCUGUCUUCCUCCACACAAGCUCCUCUCACUGCUAAACCGAUGAUGGAAACAGACUACGUGCCGAGUCCAGUGGGGGAGGGGCCAUGGCUGGGUGCCGCGGUAACAAAGAGAAGGGAAUGGAAGCUUCCCAGUCAGAUAUGCAAAUGAC